rnacentral:rRNA from 1 species
GACGAACGCUGGCGGCGUGCUUAACACAUGCAAGUCGAACGGAAAGGCCCUGCUUUUGUGGGGUGCUCGAGUGGCGAACGGGUGAGUAACACGUGAGUAACCUGCCCUUGACUUUGGGAUAACUUCAGGAAACUGGGGCUAAUACCGGAUAGGAGCUCCUGCUGCAUGGUGGGGGUUGGAAAGUUUCGGCGGUUGGGGAUGGACUCGCGGCUUAUCAGCUUGUUGGUGGGGUAGUGGCUUACCAAGGCUUUGACGGGUAGCCGGCCUGAGAGGGUGACCGGCCACAUUGGGACUGAGAUACGGCCCAGACUGCUAAGGGAGGCAGCAGUGGGGAAUAUUGAACAAUGGGCGGAAGCCUGAUGCAGCAACGCCGCGUGCGGGAUGACGGCCUUCGGGUUGUAAACCGCUUUCGCCUGUGACGAAGCGUGAGUGACGGUAAUGGGUAAAGAAGCACCGGCUAACUACGUG